CAAGUGUGUACCAAAGUGAUCCCUUGUGUAAUAAAAGUUGAAGAAUUACAAAAGUCUCUCUCCAUAUAGCUACAUAUAUUAAACCUUCCAAACUACCUUCAUUUCUUCAUUUAUCAACUAAACAAAAUCUCUUUUCUUCUUACAUUUAAAGGUCUUCUACCUUUAAAUUGUUUUCCUACACAGCAGCACUGAAAUAGUUCAAAAGCAGCGAAAAUCAUGCUGCAAAACAGGUCCAAAAGCUGUUAAAAUCCGCCCCAAAAUGCACCCUUAAACCCACCAAAUACCAUAAAAACACCUUGAAGCAUUCUCUUUUUUCACAUAAAACAUCAACGAAAAUCAACCGAUUUGAGUCGAGAUUGUCGAGGCCAUCGUUCGAGUUCGCCGGACGUAUAUCUCAGCUCUUGUUUUCGUUUUCUGCAAAGUUUGUCGACGUCAGAUUCCUUUGUGCAAAGUUGUUAUUGAAAGCUGAAGAAAUGUCUGUUUUUCACCUAUUGUUCUCAUCUUUAAUGUUUGUUUUAUUCAUUUUUUUUCUUUUUUCAAUCUCAUGCUUUCGUUGAUUUUUUUGUCAUUUUCCUCAUGAUUGCUUUGAUUUAGUUGUUUCUUUGUCUUAGUUAAAGUUCGAUCCAUGUUAGUCUGCUUGUAUACUUAGAUAAUUAUUAGAUAUUAUGGAGUUUAAUCCAAUUAUUUGAUAAAUUGGGACCUACCAUUGGUUUGGUUUCUUAGAACAGAUAGUUACUAGUGUUUGGCUUUUCAAAGUUGAAGUGGGUUUUGUGCUUUCCAUUGGGUAUUUGAUUUAGGUCGAUUCGAGCCAUUAAAUGGACCAAGUUGUAUUGGGCUUGAAUUUGAUUGAUUGAUCAUCCUAUCAUUUAAUUCGUAACUG
rnacentral:lncRNA from 1 species